CCUGAGAGCUCCCCUGCCCGCACUCCAGCCACUUGGGGACACAGCAGAAAGAUGGCUGUGUAUGAGCCAGGAAGAGGGUCCUCGCCAGAUAUCAAAUCUGCCUGCACUUUGAUCUUGGACUCCCAGCCUCCAGGACUGGAAACAGACCCACAAAGAGCAGAAGAAACGACCACGGACAACGAGGGAGCAGCCAGAGGAAUGUUUCCAAGCGGGAACAACGGUCAGAGAACUAUCAGCUGGAAGAAAGGAUAACCACAUACUUCUUUGCGUCGACUAAAAUUUUUGAGAAAUAUAAGAGGUAAGAAAGCGGGGAGGGAAAUCUGAGUAUACAGAGUCAAGCCCCCUUCAGAGAGUCUCUGAAUGCCACAGACCCACUGGCCGCCGUCUGGGCUUACCAGCGCCCCCUGGAAGCUGCCACGAUUAGCACAGGCCCCGUGAUGUCAUCUGCACACUGAUGCCUGAGGAAGACCUCUGAGAGCACUGGUCAGAAGGCACGAAGGAACUACGGAAGGAGAACGAGUGGGUGCAGAGGGAGAUGAUAAAUAAUCACCUACCUACCUGCCUG